CGGAUCGCAGGCUGCAACCCGCCUGCGUGAAGUUGGAAUUGCUAGUAAUCGCGGAUCAGCAAGCCGCGGUGAAUACGUUCCCGGGCCUUGUACACACCGCCGUCACACCAUGAGAGUCGGGAACACCCGAAGUCCGUAGUCUAACCGCAAGGAGGGCGCGGCCGAAGGUGGGUUCGAUAAUUGGGGUGAAGUCGUAACAAGGUAUC
rnacentral:rRNA from 1 species